GAUGAUGAUGAUGAUGAUGAUGAUGAUGAUGAUGAUGAUGAUGAUGACCAUGUUUAUCUACGGUAACGCCACGAAAAUCGUUCGUUAAGGCAACCUUUUUCGGUUUUGUAACGAAAAAGUUCUGAAAUGCAACUUACCGAUUCGGUAAGUCAUCACGCAAUUUUUUUAAAAUGUUUACAUUCGGUAUUGUCACCUCCGCGAAAAAUAAACUUUAAUCCUCCAUUGCAGCUAGCGGAAUUAUGUUAUGUUAAGAAAUGGUUUUGUGCGCCCUGUGUAGCUGUGAUGCAUCUAUUUCUGGUGCUUCUUGUGUACUGUGCAAAAAAGUGAUUGAUAGUAAAUGUCAUGGAGGCACUAUAGGAGAUGAAAAUAUUAUCUGUAAAGCAUGCGCAAAUGUUCCUAUCAAUCCUAAUGAAAUUGAUGAUAUGGUUGUGUCAGUUAUACAGCUACAGACAUAAUAUUUAUAAAGCUGGAGGUAGCGAAAAAAG